GAGGUGAAUCCAGUGACAUUUUUUCCAUCCAGCACCAAAACCUGGGCUCAAAAAGUAUAGGAAUGGAUUCUGGGGCUAUAUCCAAGAUUUGAGUGGUACUGCUUGGAGGCUAUAAGGGAGUCUGUUUCCAGCUAGGAGGAUGCUGAAGUGAAGCCAACGAGUUAUUGCAGAAGUAAUCAGACAGCUUACAGGACUUCAGGAUCAGAUGUCCUACUCUAUAUUAGCCCAGCUCUUGAGACCCAUCUCAAAUGUCUCCCUGAGAUUUCCAAUUGGAGAGAUGCCUCUUCUUGCUAGCUGACAGCUCUUUGCUGCAGCUUCUACAUGUGGCAUAAUAUUCCCUGGCUUGUGAAGAAAGAUUAAGAUGGCACUUCCCACCAGCAAGACUAACUAAGAUGUUUAAAGAUAUGUCUGCUAAGUGAAAAACGAAAGGAAA